rnacentral:rRNA from 1 species
UACGGGGGGUGCGAGCGUUGUCCGGAAUCACUGGGCGUAAAGGGCGCGUAGGUGGUUUGAUAAGGGUGUGGUGAAAGCCCGGGGCUCAACCCCGGGUCUGCCGUGCCGACUGUCAAACUCGAGGACUGUAGAGGCAGACGGAAUUCCGGGUGUAGCGGUGGAAUGCGUAGAGAUCCGGAGGAAGACCGGUGGCGAAGGCGGUCUGCUGGGCAGUUUCUGACACUGAGGCGCGACAGCGUGGGGAGCAAACAGG